UAGGGAAUUUUCGGCAAUGGGGGGAACCCUGACCGAGCAACGCCGCGUGAAGGAAGAAGGAAUUCGUUCUGUAAACUUCUGUUAUAAAGGAAGAAAGACGGAUGGAGGAAAUGACAUCCGAGUGACGGUACUUUAUGAGAAAGCCACGGCUAACUACGUGCCAGCAGCCGCGGUAAUACGUAGGUGGCAAGCGUUAUCCGGAAUUAUUGGGCGUAAAGAGGGAGCAGGCGGCAGCAAAGGUCUGUGGUGAAAGACUGAAGCUUAACUUCAGUAAGCCAUAGAA
rnacentral:rRNA from 1 species